rnacentral:rRNA from 1 species
UACGUAGGGGGCAAGCGUUAUCCGGAUUUACUGGGUGUAAAGGGAGCGUAGACGGCAGGGCAAGUCUGAUGUGAAAGGUCGGGGCCCAACCCCGGGACUGCAUUGGAAACUGUCCGGCUGGAGUACAGGAGAGGUAAGUGGAAUUCCUAGUGUAGCGGUGAAAUGCGUAGAUAUUAGGAGGAACACCGGUGGCGAAGGCGGCCAACUGGGCUUUAACUGACGCUGAGGCUCGAAAGUGUGGGGAGCAAACAGG